rnacentral:rRNA from 1 species
UACGAAGGGUGCAAGCGUUAAUCGGAAUUACUGGGCGUAAAGGGUGCGUAGGCGGUUCGUUAAGUCUGUCGUGAAAUCCCCGGGCUCAACCUGGGAAUGGCGAUGGAUACUGGCGAGCUAGAGUGUGGCAGAGGAUGGUGGAAUUCCCGGUGUAGCGGUGAAAUGCGUAGAGAUCGGGAGGAACAUCAGUGGCGAAGGCGGCCAUCUGGGACAACACUGACGCUGAAGCACGAAAGCGUGGGGAGCAAACAGG